rnacentral:lncRNA from 1 species
CCGCACAGACCGCCUGCCGCCGGGCGCCCGGAGCCUGCCACCAGUUGGGCGCUCGGGCCCCACGCAAGGCACACGCCACAGCCCCGCCGCCAGCACCGGAAGGCCCGCCGGGCCCCAUGGGACCCUCUCCUUUGCGUGCCACACCCAUGCACACCCAGGCCUCCCUAACUCCAGCACCAGCAUCUCCACGGGAGACGCACUAGACCCUGGGCCCAGCGGGACCCUCGCACCGAAACUCACGCCCCUUCCGCCGCCACCUGCCCCCUUUCCUCCACAGCAGACUCCCUCCUUGCCACCAGCUCCCGCCCGGCACCAGCUCGGCUGGGCUCCAGUCCGCAGGCGUGGCUAGCUCUGCUGGGUAUCAACCUCACACUGCCUCCCACUGCGCAACUCCCUGUCCUCCCUCCCCGGGAACACGGCCUCAGCCAGGGCAGGGGCGCCGCACGGCCUCAAUGCCCAGCCCCGUGUGUGGACACCUUAGCGGCCCCGGGAGCUGGCCGCGGGCUCACACUUCUCUGCCCCGCCGGCACCCAUGACCGGCCAGGGCACAGGCACCCAGCUCCCAUUCACGUGCCCGGGACCCCUCCGUCCUGCCUUCCACGCGCCGCCCAAAUCUCUGAGGAUAUCCCACAUCAUAGCCCAGGCCGCCCUGAAGGCACUGCCGCCCCGGGCACCCAACACUCCCCCUCACGGUGCUCUGCGCACACUGGCCCAGGACCUCUGGCCCUCCUGCACUUCUCUCGACCCCAGUCCGCGGCCGACUCGGCACCGCCCAGGGCCACCUGGCGCCCACCGCCUCCACGUCUCUGGGAAAUGCCGCAGGGGCUCCAGGGUUCUCGAUGACCACCAAGGACUCUGCGAGGGAAAGGCACUGAAACUCACGCCCCUUCCGCCGCCACCUGCCCCCUUUCCUCCACAGCAGACUCCCUCCUUGCACCAGCUCCCGCCCGGCACCAGCUCGGCUGGGCUCCAGUCCGCAGGCGUGGCUAGCUCUGCUGGGGAUCAACCUCACACUGCCUCCCACUGCGCAACUCCCUGUCCUCCCUCCCCGGGAACACGGCCUCAGCCAGGGCAGGGGCGCCGCACGGCCUCAAUGCCCAGCCCCGUGUGUGGACACCUUAGCGGCCCCGGAGCUGGCCGCGGCUCACACUUCUAUGCCCCGCCGGCACCAUGACCGGCCAGGGCACAGGCACCCAGCUCCAUUCACGUGCCCGGGACCCCUCCGUCCUGCCUUCCACGCGCCGCCCAAAUCUCUGAGGAUAUCCCACAUCAUAGCCCAGGCCGCCCUGAAGGCACUGCCGCCCCGGGCACCCAACACUCCCCCUCACGGUGCUCUGCGCACACUGGCCCAGACCUCUGGCCCUCCUGCACUUCUCUCGACCCCAGUCCGCGGCCGACUCGGCACCGCCCAGGGCCACCUGGCGCCCCACCACUCCACGUCUCUGGGAAAUGCGCAGGGCUCCAGGGUUCUCGAUGACCACCAAGGACUCUGCGAGGGAAAGGCACUGGCAGCCCCGCCGACCCCGUGAAGGCCCAGGCCAAGGCGUCCGACCCCGCCCAAACGGCCAUCUCGGCAAGGCCCCCGGCCGCCUCCUCUCUCCCCACCAGAACCUGGGUCGGCAGUCCCGCCGAGGCCAAGCCCCCGCUGCUCACCCCAACCUACAGACACCCUCUGCGCCCGACACCGCGGGCAGACCCGCGGAGGCCUCAAGGAGGCAGCCGCAGGCCUGAGAGCCAGCG